ensembl:lncRNA LGALS17A galectin 14 pseudogene
UGAAGAACUACACAGAGGGAGACAACAAUGUCAUCACUAAAAGUACCACACACACGGCCUGUGUCCUUGUCUACUGGUUCUUGUGUGAUAAUCACAGGGACACCGAUCAUCCCUUUCGUCAUGGACCCACAGCUGCAGGUGGAUUUCCAUACCGAGAUGAAGGAAGACUCAGACAUCGCCUUCCAUUUCCGAGUGUACUUUGGUCAUUGGGUGGUCAUGAACAGCCGCGUGAAUGGGGCUUGGCAGUAUGAGGUGACAUGCCACAAUAUGCCCUUUCAGGAUGGUAAACCAUUUAACCUGUGCAUCUCCGUGCUGGCCGAUGAGUACCAGCCGUUCAGAAUAAUAUCCUACGUUUUGCAACACCUGUUUUGUUCCUCCUCUCUGAAAACAUUUGAAUUUCCUUCUUUGCCACCACCAUUACAUCUCUGGGCAACUCCAAGGAGAAACUGGGCCAUCAGCAGUCAUAGUGAAUGGGAGUUAUAGUUCAUGGAACUGAAAUGUAUGCAUUCAAUGAACACUGUCCAGCACUAACCCCAUGGCAGGCCCUGUGCAAGACGCAAGGAUUGAAGUUCAUGAGAGACAGUCCCAGGCCAUAGGGAUCUUCCAGGCUGGACUGCAGUGGCACCAUUAAGGCUCACUGCAGCCUCGACACCCUGGGCUCAAAAAUUCCUCCUGCCUCAGCCCCCCAAGUAGGUGAGACCACAGGUUUACUGGACUCAUGCGGGUGGUAGACACGCAUGUGUGUGGGAGUCACGUUUUCUGAAGGACCUACAGGCUGGGAUCCCAGAGGAUUCUUCACUUAUGUUUGACUCAACACUAAGGAAGGACUUUCAAGAAACCAAAGAAGAAGCUGCCAGGCAUCAUAGAACUUAGCUUUGAAAAUUGGAGAGUGUCACUUUUCUAUGACAUUAUAUUGAUUAAGGACUGGUUCUCAGCAACAAUCGGCUUCACCCUCCACUCUUCCCUUCUUGGAGUUUCUACCAAGAUGGCAGAAUGACAGUCCUUUUCCCUCUAUAAGAGCUGAGAUCACCUGCUUCAUAGCAAACCUGGAGAACCACUUAGCAGAAACAACAUGUUACCUACAAACUAAUGAAGGCAGAUUGAGUAAAGU